GGCAUUAUGGCCGAGUUUAGGCGUUAAACUGUAAAUUUAUUAACGAGAUAUUCUCUUUUGCC
rnacentral:tRNA from 1 species